AGUGAACGCUGGCGGUAGGCCUAACACAUGCAAGUCGAACGGCAGCACAGUAAGAGCUUGCCCUUACGGGUGGCGAGUGGCGGACGGGUGAGGAGUACAUCGGAAUCUACUUUUUCGUGGGGGAUAACGUAGGGAAACUUACGCUAAUACAGCAUACGACCUACGGGUGAAAGCAGGGGAUAUUCGGACCUUGCGCGAAUGAAUGAGCCGAUGUCGGAUUAGCUAGUUGGCGGGGAAAAGGCCCACCAAGGCGACGAUCCGUAGCUGGUCUGAGAGGAGGGCCAGCCCAACUGGAACUGAGACACGGUCCAAACUCCUACGGGGGGCAGCAGAGGGGAAUAUUGGACAAUGGGCGCAAUCCUGCUCCAGCCAUACCGCGUGGGUGAAGAAGGCCUUCGGGUUGUAAAGCCCUUUUGUUGGGAAAGAAAAGCAGCAGGUUAAUACCCCGCUGUUCUGACGGUACCCAAAGAAUAAGCACCGGCUAACUUCGUG
rnacentral:rRNA from 1 species